GCCAGUCGUGGUGGCUCAUGCCUGUAGUCCCAGCUACUCUGGAGGCUGAGGUAGGAGGAUCGUUUGAGCCCAGGAGUUCAAGGCUGCAGUGAGCUAUGAUUGUGCCACUGCACUUCAGCCUGGGUGACAGAGUGAGACCCUGUCUCUU
rnacentral:SRP_RNA from 1 species